GAAAAUAUGUGUUUGUUAAGGUAGGGAAAUGAAAUUUAGGUAACAAAAGUGAAAGAGGAAAGUGCAUAUAAUAGAAUGAAAAUUGUGCCAUGUCUUUUGAAGUCACUUAUCUGAUCAUUGAGAGAUGGAAACAAACAUUUUCUUCGUGUCUUUUUUAUAAGAACAUAUCUUCCCGUUUUAUGUUUGUUAAAAAUUUUGUUAGACUCAAUUUCACGUAUUUUUU
rnacentral:lncRNA from 1 species